UACGUAGGGUGCAAGCGUUGUCCGGAAUUAUUGGGCGUAAAGAGCUCUAGAGCGGUCUGUCGCGUCUGCUGUGAAAACUCGGGGCUUAACCCCGGGUCUGCAUUCGAUACGGGCUAGCUAGAGUGUGGUAGGGGGAGAUCGGAAUUCCUGGUGUAGCGGUGAAAUGCGCAGAUAUCAGGAGGAACACCGGUGGCGAAGGCGGAUCUCUGGGCCAUUACUGACGCUGAGGAGCGAAAGCGUGGGGAGCGAACAGG
rnacentral:rRNA from 1 species